ACACACUUGAGAGAUCUACCUUUGUUUUCCUUCAUAGGUAAAGUUAGCUGUGCCAUCACAAUUUAUUUUAAAAUCACCUUUGGGCCGGGCUUGGUGGCUCACGCCUGUAAUCUCAACACUUUGGGAGUCCGAAGCAGGUGGAUCACCAGGUGCUGGUCACUGAAGCAGAAGAUGAGGCCUCUGCAAUUAAUGACUAAAUGUAUACAACUAAAUAUAGAAUCUCAGCCGGGCGCUAUGGCUCAAGUCUGUAAUCCCAGCACUUUGGGAGGCCGAGACGGGCAGAUCACGAGGUCAGGAGAUCGAGACCAUCCUGGCUAACACGGUGAAAGCCCCUCUCUACUAAAAAAAUACAAAAAACUAGCGGGGCAAGGUGUUGGGAGCCUGUAGUCCCAGCUACUCGGGAGGCUGAGGCAGGAGAAUCGCGUAAACCCGGGAGGCGGAGCUUGCAGUGAGCUGAGAUCCAGCCACUGCGCUCCAGCCUGGGCGACAGAGCCAGACUCCGUAUCAGGAAAAAAAAAAAAAAAAUAUAUAUAUAUAUAUAUAUAUAUAUAUAUAUAAUCACACUUGUGGAUCUCUUUCUCCAGAGGCCACUGGCCAAAAAUGAUGUGAACUAGAAACUUUUCCAUCAUGAAUUCAAUCCCCACCAUGCAAAAGAAAGGUUCAGUGACUCCACAAGUUCUUCUAUUUUAAUCAUGGUUAAACAUGAGCUCUUUAAAAGCAAGCAGGGUUGGGAUUAGUGAAGAAGGAAGAAUGGGCAGAAGAAAUUUGGGAACAACCAGUGCAGACAGCCUUGGGGCAAAAGGUAAAACUGAGCCAUCCUGGGUUCUGGUGAAGACCAUAACUAGGUGAAAGUCUUAUCCCCAGCAAAGUGUUGAUGAACUGUUAUCCUGAACCAGGCACUGUGUUAAGCAAUGGGGACUCUAAAGGGAACAAGAUCUCAAGACUGGUCCCUGCACUGGGGGAACUUGCUAGAGGGUAAGAGGGAGAUAUCAAAAAGAAACUAAAACGUGUGGUAUUAUGAUGACAGCAAUUUGGGUGCUGAGGAAUCAUAGAUGGAGGCAGCUAAGCUGAGAUCAUGGAAGCCAGAGAAGUCUCACUAAAGUCUAAGUUGAGAUCAGAGGAAUAAGCACUGAAGUAAAGCAAGUAAAGUGAGGGCAGAGGAGAGGGCUAAAGAGUGUUGUGGGUAGAAAAUGAAAAGGAGGAGAACAUGGAGUUUGGGCAGAAAAAAAAAUUCACCGUAGCUCAUGCUUGGAAGUCAAGUGUGAGGACUGAGGGUAGAGAUGCAGCAGGUUAGGGGAGCAUCAUCAAAGUUUAAAGUGCUCCCUGGAGCCUUCCCUACUUAUUUGCUAGUCUGCACACAACAUUCUGUUUUAAGUAAGAGUCCUCCCUUUUCUCUAUUUCACUUAAAUGCCUAUCCUUGAUAUGGACUCACAACAUCUUUUUCCCCCAGUGGUUUAUAACUCAUUAUUGUCCUUAAUUAUAUUGGUGUUCAACUUUACCCAUAUUUAAUUAGGGAGAGCCCCUUUUUGGGAAAAUAGCCUUUGCCUUGCAAGAGUAAAGCCAUCUUGAAGCAAAACAGUCAUAACGACCAAUAUUUGACUCCUGCAUACCAAGGCAUUCUGCGGCAAGGUCAAAAACAAUGUACGUAGCAUGAAUAACCCCUCAUAAAGAUGUUUAUUUAACUUCCCC
ensembl:lncRNA